GCUCAGUGCCCUAAUAAGGGUAAACAGCCGCUGUAUUUUGACGGUGCUAAGGUAGCGAAAUUCCUAGCCUUUUAAUUGGAGGCCUGCAUGAAUGGUUUGACGAGCGCUCAACUGUCUCUUUUUCGUGUAUAUUGAAAUUAGCUUCUGUGUGAAAAGACACAGAUGGUUGAGUAAGACGAAAAGACCCUGUGCAACUUUACUAGGUAGGUGGGUUAACUGCCAUAAAGUUUAGCUGGGGCAGCUAGGGAAAAGAUAAAACUUCCCCACUGAUUAUAGACUGAUGGGUUUUGAUCCAAUUAGUAGAUUGAUCAGUAGAAAAGUUACGCCAGGGAUAACAGCGUUAUCCUUCUGUGGAGGUCUUAUUUGCAGGGGGGAUUGCGACCUCGAUGUUGAAUUAGGGAUAUAGCGGGAAGGCGCAGCGGCUUUUCUUGUAGGUCUGUUCGACCUUUAAAACCCU
rnacentral:rRNA from 1 species